rnacentral:rRNA from 1 species
UACGAGGGGUGCAAGCGUUGCUCGGAAUCAUUGGGCGUAAAGGGCAGGUAGGUGGUCUGAUUUGUCUGAGGUGAAAGCCUUGAGCUUAACUCAAGAAGUGCCUUAGAAACGGUCAGACUAGAGUCCUGGAGAGGGUUGCGGAAUUCCCGGUGUAGCGGUGAAAUGCGUAGAGAUCGGGAGGAACACCAGAGGCGAAGGCGGCAACCUGGACAGGAACUGACACUCAACUGCGAAAGCAUGGGGAGCAAACAGG